AAGAGAACUCCCGAAGGAAUCCUUCUUCCUUCUUCCGAGUUCGAUCGAGAGAAAAAUUUUAGGGCCAAUCGAACUCCAGUUAGGAGCCUAGAACCUCCGCCUACAAAUCCCUCCCAUCCUCCUCAAUGAAACCUUCAAAUCCGCAGUCAAUUACUGGCGAGGCCACCGGAUUCUACCAAUUGCCAUCAUGUGUUCCUCGGAGAAUCGCCAUCGAUUUCUCACCAAAGACGAGGAUACUCAUGAUUGGCUAUGGUUUGGGUUGUGGAUGAGCGGAUGCAUGAUAGAGCAUCAUUUAUAUCCGAAUGGAUGAUUGAAGAAAUUAAAUUUGUAAUUAUGCGAGUUUUAUCAAUUGUUAUAAAAUUUGAUCAUUAUGAACGUUGAGGUUAUAAUGAAUUUUCAAGGCUUGCAUAUUCUUUAGGGCUUGCCCUAGAAAGUAUGCGGGCAUCGCAUGCCU